UCAGACAUGGUGUAGUUGGAAACAUAACCUUCUUACUUUCCUUGAAUGAAAUACCGAUUUGAGGUUGUCCUGGGUUCGAACCCCAGUGUCUGAG